GCCCGCGUGGGGUAGCUUGGAUAUCCUAAAAGAUUGCGGAUCUUUGGACUUGGGUUCGAAUCCCAGCGCGGGCGCCA
rnacentral:tRNA from 2 species